rnacentral:rRNA from 1 species
GACGAACGCUGGCGGCGUGCUUAACACAUGCAAGUCGAACGGAAAGGCCCUGCUUUUGCGGGUUGCUCGAUUGCCGAAGGGGUGAGUAACACGUGAGUAUCACGCCCUUGUCUUUGGGGUAACUUCAGGAAAAACCGGCUCUAAUCCCGUAGAAGCUAUUGCUGCGUGUGGGGGGUUGGAAAGAGUCGGCGGUGGGGGAUAGUCUGGCUGGUUAUCAGCUUGUUUGUGGGGUAGUGGCUUACCAAGGCUUUGAGGGGUAGCCGGCCUGAGAGGUUGACCGGGCACCAGAGGACUGAGAGACGGAGCAGUCUGGAACGGGAGGCAGUAGGGGGAAGUAUGGCAGAACGGGCGGGCGCGUGAUAUGGCAACGCCGCGUGCGGGAAGACGUCCUUCGGGGGGUAAACCGAUUUCGCCGGUGACGAAGAGUGAGUGACGGUAAUUGGUAAAGAAGCACCGGCUAACUACGUG